rnacentral:lncRNA from 1 species
GAAUGAAUGUCCCCUCUCCAAGCCUCCCUUUCUCUUAAUCCCUAGAAGAACUUCAAUAGGCCUGGAAUUCCCUGUUUGCCCUCCUGGGGAUCCACAGCAGAAAGUGACCAGGCCCACCCCAGGACAGGGCUGGAGCCGGUUUUCAGAAGCCACAUGAGACAUUUCCACCUAGGUCAGAAGAGCAGGUGGCUCUGACUGUGGGUGCUGCUUCUGGAACAAUCGGAUUCCUCCUGGCACCUGACUGUACUGCUUUCCAAGGUGAGGCGAGAAGGGUGUCAGGGAACCUGGGGUCUGGUGGGGUCUGGAAG